rnacentral:rRNA from 1 species
AUUGAACGCUGGCGGCAUGCCUUACACAUGCAAGUCGAACGGCAGCACGGGGCAACCUGGUGGCGAGUGGCGAACGGGUGAGUAAUGCAUCGGAACGUACCUUUCAGUGGGGGAUAACGUAGCGAAAGUUACGCUAAUACCGCAUAUUCUGUGAGCAGGAAAGCAGGGGAUCGCAAGACCUUGCGCUGAUUGAGCGGCUGAUGUCAGAUUAGCUAGUUGGUGAGGUAAAGGCUCACCAAGGUGACGAUCUGUAGCGGGUCUGAGAGGAUGAUCCGCCAAACUGGAACUGAGACACGGUCCAGACUCCUACGGGAGGCAGCAGUGGGGAAUUUUGGACAAUGGGGGCAACCCUGAUCCAGCCAUGCCGCGUGAGUGAAGAAGGCCUUCGGGUUGUAAAGCUCUUUCGGCCGGGAAGAAAUCGCACGGGCUAAUACCCUGUGUGGAUGACGGUACCGGAAUAAGAAGCACCGGCUAACUACGUGCCAGCAGCCGCCGUAAUAC